UACGUAGGGUGCGAGCGUUGUCCGGAAUUACUGGGCGUAAAGAGCUCGUAGGUGGUUUGUCGCGUUGUUCGUGAAAACUCACAGCUUAACUGUGGGCGUGCGGGCGAUACGGGCAGACUGGAGUACUGCAGGGGAGACUGGAAUUCCUGGUGUAGCGGUGGAAUGCGCAGAUAUCAGGAGGAACACCGGUGGCGAAGGCGGCUCUCUGGGACGGUACUGACGCUGAGACGCGAAAGCGUGGGGAGCGAACAGG
rnacentral:rRNA from 1 species